UACGGGGGGGGGCAAGCGUUGUUCGGAAUUACUGGGCGUAAAGGGCUCGUAGGCGGCCAACUAAGUCAGACGUGAAAUCCCCAGGCUCAACCUGGGAACUGCGUCUGAUACUGGAUGGCUUGAAUCCGGGAGAGGGAUGUGGAAUUCCAGGUGUAGCGGUGAAAUGCGCAGAUAUCGGGAGGAACACCAGUGGCGAAGGCGACUACCUGGCCUGUUCUUGACGCUGAGGCGCGAAAGCCAGGGGAGCGAACGGG
rnacentral:rRNA from 1 species